GACGAACGCUGGCGGCGUGCUUAACACAUGCAAGUCGAACGGAAAGGCCCUGCUUUUGUGGGGUGCUCGAGUGGCGAACGGGUGAGUAACACGUGAGUAACCUGCCCUUGACUUUGGGAUAACUUCAGGAAACUGGGGCUAAUACCGGAUAGGAGCUCCUGCUGCAUGGUGGGGGUUGGAAAGUUUCGGCGGUUGGGGAUGGACUCGCGGCUUAUCAGCUUGUUGGUGGGGUAGUGGCUUACCAAGGCUUUGACGGGUAGCCGGCCUGAGAGGGUGACCGGCCACAUUGGGACUGAGAUACGGCCCAGACUCCUACGGGAGGCAGCAGUGGGGAAUAUUGCACAAUGGGCGGAAGCCUGAUGCAGCAACGCCGCGUGCGGGAUGACGGCCUUCGGGGUGUAAACCGCUUUCGGCUGUGACGAAGCGUGAGUGACGGUAAUGGGUAAAGAAGCACCGGCUAACUACGUG
rnacentral:rRNA from 1 species